UACGGGGGGGGCAAGCGUUGUUCGGAAUUACUGGGCGUAAAGGGCGCGUAGGCGGCCUGCUAAGUCGGAUGUGAAAUCCCUCGGCUCAACCGAGGAACUGCAUCCGAUACUGGCGGGCUUGAAUCUGGGAGAGGGAUGUGGAAUUCCAGGUGUAGCGGUGAAAUGCGUGGAUAUCUGGAGGAACACCGGUGGCGAAGGCGGCAUCCUGGACCGGUAUUGACGCUGAGGCGCGAAAGCUAGGGGAGCAAACGGG
rnacentral:rRNA from 1 species